AUUGAACGCUGGCGGCAGGCUUAACACAUGCAAGUCGAACGAGUGGCGGACGGGUGAGUAAUGAUUGGGUAUCCAGCUUAUGGAGGGGGAUAACUACGGGAAACUGUAGCUAAUCCCGUGUACCAAAGGAUGAGCCCAAGUGGUGUGAGGUAGUUGGUGAGUGAAAGGCUCACCAAGCCGCAGAUCUAUAGCUGGUCUGAGAGGAGGACCAGCCACCCUGGGACUGAGACGCGGCCCAGACGCCGACGUGAGGCAGCAGUGGGGAAUGUUGCGGAAUGGAGGCGACCGGGCGCAGCCAUGCCGCGUGAAGGAAGAGGGCCUUCGGGUUGUAAAGUUCUUUCGGUAGCGAGGCGUUACCUACAGAAGAAGCACCGGCUAACUCCGUGCCAGCGGCCGCGGUAAUAG
rnacentral:rRNA from 1 species